rfam:Aedes albopictus isolate Foshan contig129861, whole genome shotgun sequence.
UAGCCUAGUGGUAAGGGCUAUAGAUCGCCAAUCUGAAGACGGCGGGUUCGAUUCCCGU